rnacentral:misc_RNA from 1 species
GCUCCGUUGGUGAACCAGCGGAGGGAUCAUUACCGAGUUUACAACUCCCAAACCCAAUGUGAACCAUACCAAACUGUUGCCUCGGCGGGGUCACGCCCCGGGUGCGUCGCAGCCCCGGAACCAGGCGCCCGCCGGAGGGACCAACCAAACUCUUUCUGUAGUCCCCUCGCGGACGUUAUUUUUACAGCUCUGUGCAAAAAUUCAAAAUGAAUCAAAACUUUCAACAACGGAUCUCUUGGUUCUG